UUUCCGUAGGUGAACCUGCGGAAGGAUCAUUAUAAAUGAAAAACGAAUAACUUCAGGGAAGAAGGGAACCUGCACGGUGACCUCCCCUGUCGGGACACCCAAUACCUUCAAAAUGCCGCCGUCCUAGCAGUGGCAGACGAAAAAAAAACAAGAAAAACAAAAUAGAAACAGGCACGGUGGCCCGUUCACCUUCUCACAACCCUCCGAGUACCGCUUCCAUGUUGCUUCCCCGCAAAUCCACCUCUUUGGUGGACGCGGGGGAGGUCCGCAUCAAAUUCACAUGAAUGUCACAGCAGUCAGACAGCCAUUCAUGAAAAAAAUAAAACUUUCAACAACGGAUCUCUUGGUUCCC
rnacentral:misc_RNA from 1 species